UCCCUGGUGGUCCAGUGGUUAGGACGCGGCGUUUACACUGCCGUGGCCUGGGUUCAAUCCCUGGUCGGGGAA